UACGAAGGGGGCUAGCGUUGCUCGGAAUCACUGGGCGUAAAGGGUGCGUAGGCGGGUCUUUAAGUCAGGGGUGAAAUCCUGGAGCUCAACUCCAGAACUGCCUUUGAUACUGAAGAUCUUGAGUUCGGGAGAGGUGAGUGGAACUGCGAGUGUAGAGGUGAAAAUUCGUAGAUAUUGGGAAGAACACCGGUGGCGAAGGCGGGUCUCUGGGCAACAACUGACGCUGAGGAGCGAAAGCGUGGGGAGGCGAACAGG
rnacentral:rRNA from 1 species